CCAUCCCAGGGACUGCACUGCGCUGAGAUUUGUGGCUUGCUGGGCCAAAGGAAAGGCACCCACUAAUUGGUUCAGACCACAAAGGUCAACCACAGGAACACCCGCUUCUGCGUCUCCUUGCACGACUCAAUUUCUGUUUCAUCGGUGAACCAGUUAGGAUCUACCCAGUGCUGGAGCACUCUCACGCCAGACCAUCUCGUAGGCUACUCACUGACCUACAGAGCCAAUCAAGGAGCUGGUGCUAAUUGCUGAUCACUACACGAUUCUUGCUGAGAACAAUUUUGUAUCAGAGAAGAGGACAUGAAACAGGAUUCACUCUGAUUAGAUUAAGGCUGCCAUCUUAAUCUCAUCAGCAAAGACGGGAGAAGGCGGAAGAAGAUUUAAUCUCAAAGACACUAAUUUGUAAAACAAAAGGGGCCACAUGGACUUCACAUGCCUGUCUCACGGGAAGGAAGGUGAGUUGUACCUAGUGAAGAAGUCAGUUGUCCUUGGCGUGGUGUGUUUAUCCCUCUGAAGACAGCAAAGGAAGUGUUUUGCUGUGAACACAGAUCAGAUCAUCACUUGAUCUUGUAUCACAAGUGAGUGUGG